rnacentral:ncRNA from 1 species
CAGAAAGCUUUGAAAAGAAGAGUACAUGUCGAAGAAAUUUUAAGAGAGCCCCGUUUAGCUGAGAAAGGGCAAUGGAAUCGAGAUGGAAGAUGGUCUUUGAGCAGAAUAGGUGAACAAAUAUGUAAGCCUAUCACGGGAGUGCCCGUUACAGCACCACAGUAUGCGAAGUGUUCAAGUACUGGCUGAGGUCAUUUUUGCGAAGAAAUGACGAAAAAAGGUGGUAACACGGAAUUUAUGCUUCCGUCCUUUUA